rnacentral:rRNA from 1 species
GAUCCUGGCUCAGAAUCAACGCUGGCGGCGUGCCUAACACAUGCAAGUCGAACGAGAAAGGGUAGCAAUACCUGAGUAAAGUGGCGCACGGGUGAGUAACACGUGACUAACCUACCCUUGAGUGGGGGAUAACUGAGGGAAACCUUGGCUAAUACCGCAUAAUACCUACGGGUCAAAGGAGCAAUUCGCUUAAGGAGGGGGUCGCGGCCGAUUAGUUAGUUGGCGGGGUAAUGGCCCACCAAGACAGUGAUCGGUAUCCGGCCUGAGAGGGCGCACGGACACACUGGAACUGAAACACGGUCCAGACUCCUACGGGAGGCAGCAGUGGGGAAUUUUGCGCAAUGGGGGAAACCCUGACGCAGCAACGCCGCGUGGAGGAUGAAGUACUUCGGUACGUAAACUCCUUUCGAUCGGGACGAUUAUGACGGUACCGGAAGAAGAAGCCCCGGCUAACUUCGUGCCAGCAGCCGCGGUAAUACGAGGGGGGCAAGCGUUGUUCGGAAUUAUUGGGCGUAAAGGGUGCGUAGGCGGUUUGGUAAGUCUUGUGUGAAAUCUCCGGGCUCAACUCGGAGACUGCACGAGAAACUGCCGGGCUUGAGUGUGGGAGAGGUGAGUGGAAUUUCCGGUGUAGCGGUGAAAUGCGUAGAUAUCGGAAGGAACACCUGUGGCGAAAGCGGCUCACUGGACCAC